rnacentral:tRNA from 1 species
GGCUCGUUGGUCUUGGGGUAUGAUUCUCGCUUUGGGUGCGAGAGGUCCUGGGUUCAAAUCCCGGAUGAGCCC